rnacentral:rRNA from 1 species
AGAGUUUGAUCCUGGCUCAGAACGAACGCUGGCGGCAGGCUUAACACAUGCAAGUCGAGCGAAGACUUCGGUCUUAGCGGCGGACGGGUGAGUAACGCGUGGGAACGUGCCCUUUACUUCGGAAUAGCCUCUGGAAACGGAGAGUAAUACCGAAUGUGCCCUUAGGGGGAAAGAUUUAUCGGUAAAGGAUCGGCCCGCGUUAGAUUAGGUAGUUGGUGGGGUAAUGGCCUACCAAGCCUACGAUCUAUAGCUGGUUUGAGAGGAUGAUCAGCCACACUGGGACUGAGACACGGCCCAGACUCCUACGGGAGGCAGCAGUGGGGAAUCUUGGACAAUGGGGGCAACCCUGAUCCAGCCAUGCCGCGUGAGUGAUGAAGGCCUUAGGGUCGUAAAGCUCUUUCGCCAGGGAUGAUAAUGACAGUACCUGGUAAAGAAACCCCGGCUAACUCCGUGCCAGCAGCCGCGGUAAUACGGAGGGGGUUAGCGUUGUUCGGAAUUACUGGGCGUAAAGCGCGCGUAGGCGGACUGGAAAGUGUGGGGUGAAAUCCCGGGGCUCAACCCCGGAACUGCCUUGCAAACUAUCAGUCUAGAGUUCGAGGGAGGUGAGUGGAAUUCCGAGUGUAGAGGUGAAAUUCGUAGAUAUUCGGAGGAACACCAGUGGCGAAGGCGGCUCACUGGCUCGAUACUGACGCUGAGGUGCGAAAGUGUGGGGAGCAAACAGGAUUAGAUACCCUGGUAGUCCACACCGUAAACGAUGAAUGCCAGUCGUCGGGUAGCAUGCUAUUCGGUGACACACCUAACGGAUUAAGCAUUCCGCCUGGGGAGUACGGUCGCAAGAUUAAAACUCAAAGGAAUUGACGCGGGCCCGCACAAGCGGU